ACAAUGGGCGCGGCGCCCGAGCCCCUGACAGCGCCAUAAAUUGGCCGUGCAAAGCCGAGCGCUAGGUGGUCCCCCCUGGAGAAAAGAGCCGCCGCCGAGGGCGCGAAAAGGCGAGUCCGGAAGCCCGCCAGGGAGCCAGUGGCGCGUUUUCCAGAUCACCCUGUUGGAACUUAGCGUAGCAGAGGAAGAACACCAUGGAAUAAGGAGAAAGGAGAUACAAGUAGCCUCUCCAGGAAGAAUGUGACUGAAUACUUUUUAUACAAAACCACAAAAUUAGAUAAAUAUGUAUUUAAGUGUUAUUCCUGAAAGCUGGAGAAAGAAAUCUUACUUCUAAGAAUUGUUUAGCGAAGGAAUAAGAAAAUGUGAUGCUUGGAAGAAAAAACACACUGCCGAGAGGCCUUGCGCUGAGUGUGCUGAACAAUAGACAACCUCUAAGGAUGCUCGCCUGCAAUUCCGGCUCUGCCAUCAAUUCACUGUAUGCCUUUGGAAACUUGAAAAUUACACAUCUGACUUAAGUCUGUGGGAGCCACAGUGCUCUAGAGGGUCUUGCACUGGCAAUUGAAUGCUGCACCUCAUUGGCUAGAAUCAGUCACAUGACCACACCCAAUCUCAGGAAGGCCAGAAAAUGCAAUCCCACAAUGCAGCUGGAAGACAGCUAACUGGAAAUCAAUGCUGAGAAGUCCUAAGAAAUGCCACAGGAAGAGAAAGAGGCAGGGGGCCGGCAGAGGCCAGAACAAAUUUUGGAAAGUAUAUUUAAGAUCAUCUGGGUUAAAUACGUGUUACCCGACAUCCAAAAAUUACUUGGAAAGCCCUUGAGAAUACCUCCAGGAUCUAAGCAGUCAACCUCUAAAGCAACCAUUAAUAAAAUGGAGUCAUGAGACUGCCCUAUAACAGCUUGUGGAGAAAGAAAUGUCUCGCAUAUCACAAUAGUGUGGACAAAGAAGAUCAGCAACAAUUUGGGCAAAAUACAUACACACACGCACAUACACACACACACACACACACAAAGACAGACAUUCGCUAACUUUGGUUUGCUAUUGAGCUGCUUCUUAUCUGGGCAAUUCUACAUAGUACACUCUAGGAUACCAAGCAACUAUUUGGGCAAAAUACACACAUACACAUACAAAUACACACAUACACAUACAAACACACACACACACAUACACAGGCAGACAUUCGCACACUUUGAUUUGCUAUUGAGCUGCUUCUUAUCUGGGCUACUCUGUGUAGUACACUCCGUGGUGAGAAGCAACAGGGAUUUAUUGAUUGAUCAGUCAAUGAGUAUUGUUCUCCUGAGAAAAGCUGAGAGGUCGGCAAGUGCACGCAAAUGUGCAGAUCAUCUACAAGACAUGAAUGAUGUUCAGAAUUACUUGUCAUGCCCUUUGCUUGGGGCUGAAAACAAGAUGCAGUCACACAGAUUUCAAUGGAGUGUGUACUCUAGAGGCAGACUGCCUGGGAUCAAAAUGCUUGCAGUAUAACCAUUGACAGCUUCCAUAACUUAUCUCUUCCCAGGUUAAUCAACCUGUAAAAUGGGGUAAUAUCUGCUCCUCCCUCAUAGGGUUGUGCAUAAAAAUCUCAUGAGAUUAUAGGUGUAGAGAGUAUGCAACUAAGACAUGCCUGAGUGAAGUUUCCUAGGAGCCAGAUAAUUAAUCCAACAUUUAUCUGAAAUGCUGAACUAACUUGCAUAAUUCUUCAAAUGAAUAUCACACCUUCGAUGGGGACAUACAAAUUGUUUCAACCUGAGGCUUGAAAAUAUGUGUCAUAAAGCAUUCUGAUUUAUCAAGAACACGUUGUAAUUUGUUGCAUUUGGAAUGUAGCUACCUAACUUCCUGAAUAUUUUAAUAAAAUACCUGUAAAAUUACACAAUCAAAACUAUACCUCCACCAAGCAAAGUGACAGAGAUGGUACUAACAUCAACAAAAAGGUAAGAGAAUGGUAAAUUUCAAAAGGUUCUAGCUGUUUCCGUACUCUCUGUACUCUUACCGUGAAAUCAAGCGCUGAAAAAGAUUCUAGGCUUAAAAUUCAA
rnacentral:lncRNA from 1 species